UGUUUUAGUUUAUUUUUCCUUUGAUAGUGCAUGUUCCAUAGUUUUAUAGCGCAUGAAUGCAUGCAUAUUUCGAGAUUUUUUAGUGCAUGAAAGUCUCGUCUCUAGUAAUAAGUAAUUUAGUUUAGUAUUGGCUAAAAAUCGUGCCAGCUGCCACGGUUAUACGUGGAAAGCAAGUGAGUAUUUUUGGUGUAAAGUUUAAUUGUUAUAGAAUUAAAUGUAAAUUUGUGUUUGAAGUGGAAUUGAAUAGAUUUUAAUUAUUUUAAAUUAAAUUUUAUUGAGGCUUUGAAAUUUUAAUAUUAAACUAGGAUUAGAUACCCUAUUAUAUAGAAAGUAAAUAUUCAAUACUUGGGUAGUAGUAGUUAAGGUCUUGAAACCCAAAGAUUUUGGCGGUGCUUUAGUCUUGUCAGAGGAAUUUGUCCUGUAAUUGAUAAUACACGUUUUAUUUUACUUGGUCUUGAAGAUUCAGUUUGUAUACCGCCGUCAUAAGAAUAUCUUUAGAGAGAAAUUUUCUUAAUUUUUAAUUAAGAGUAUGUCAGGUCAAGGUGCAGCUAAUGAUUAAGUAGAGAUGAAUUACAAUGAAAUUAUUUAUAACGAAUUUUAUUUUGGAAGAAGUGAAUGAAGGUGGAUUUGAAAGUAAUAUUGUUUUAGCAUAGCAUUAUGAUUAAGCUCUAAAUCAUGUACACAUCGCCCGUCGCUCUCGUUAUAAUAUGAGAUAAGUCGUAACAAAGUAGGUGUACUGGAAAGUGCGCCUAGGAAGGU
rnacentral:ncRNA from 1 species